AUAUGGAUCGCUCCGAUGUUAGUGGUUAGAGCGUCCGCCUCAGAUGCGGGAUGUCGUUGGUUCGAUCCCGGUCGAGUUAUACC